rnacentral:lncRNA from 1 species
AGAGAGAGGAAAGGGAGAUAGUCAAUGGCAUUAUUAAAGGAGGGGUGGACGCUGUUGAUCCUUGACGUCAUGCUGUGGAAUGGAACGGUGGGAGUGACUUUAGUGCUCGUGCUGCAGCAGCAGGCGGAGAUAGAGACAGAAUGACGGCAGGCGGAUGAGAGGAGCACAGACCCCGUCUGGCGGGCAUGUUUAUCACACAGGGAAAAUAAAAACACGAAACACACAGAGACACAAAGGACCAGUGGGGAUUAAACAAAUAAUGACGGGAGACAGUGACUUAAAAUACACGGCCAUCCACCUGACCAUACCAGUACCUGGAUCCAUCCACCUGACCAUACCAGUACCUGGAUCCAUCCACCUGACCAUACCAGUACCUGGAUCCAUCCACCUGACCAUACCAGUACCUGGAUCCAUCCACCUGACCAUACCAGUACCUGGGUCCAUCCACCUGACCAUACCAGUACCUGGAUCCAUCCACCUGACCAUACCAGCACCUGGAUCCAUCCACCUGACCAUACCAGUACCUGGAUCCACCCACCUGACCAUACCAGUACCUGGAUCCAUCCACCUGACAAUACCAGUACCUGGGUCCAUCCACCUGACAAUACCAGUACCUGGAUCCAUCCACCUGACAAUACCAGUACCUGGAUCCAUCCACCUGACCAUACCUGACCAUACCAGUACCUGGAUCCAUCCACCUGACCAUACCAGUACCUGGGUCCAUCCACCUGACCAUACCAGUACCUGGAUCCAUCCACCUGACAAUACCAGUACCUGGGUCCAUCCACCUGACCAUACCAGUACCUGGAUCCAUCCAUCCACCUGACCAUACCAGUACCUGGAUCCAUCCAUCCACCUGACCAUACCAGUACCUGGAUCCAUCCACCUGACCAUACCAGUACCUGGAUCCAUCCACCUGACCAUACCAGUACCUGGAACCAUCCCCCUGACCAUACCAGUACCUGGAACCAUCCAACUGACCAUACCAGUACCUGGAUCCACCCACCUGACCAUACCAGUACCUGGAUCCACCCACCCACCAUACCAUACCAGUACCUGGAUCCACCCACCUGACCAUACCAGUACCUGGGUCCAUCCACCUGACCAUACCAGUACCUGGAUCCAUCCAUCCACCUGACCAUACCAGUACCUUGGUCCAUCCACCUGACCAUACCAGUACCUGGAUCCAUCCACCUGACCAUACCAGUACCUGGAUCCAUCCACCUGACCAUACCAGUACCUGGGUCCAUCCACCUGACCAUACCAGUACCUGGAUCCAUCCACCUGACCAUACCAGCACCUGGAUCCAUCCACCUGACCAUACCAGUACCUGGAUCCACCCACCUGACCAUACCAGUACCUGGAUCCAUCCACCUGACCAUACCAGUACCUGGGUCCAUCCACCUGACAAUACCAGUACCUGGAUCCAUCCACCUGACAAUACCAGUACCUGGAUCCAUCCACCUGACCAUACCUGACCAUACCAGUACCUGGAUCCAUCCACCUGACCAUACCAGUACCUGGGUCCAUCCACCUGACCAUACCAGUACCUGGAUCCAUCCACCUGACAAUACCAGUACCUGGGUCCAUCCACCUGACCAUACCAGUACCUGGAUCCAUCCAUCCACCUGACCAUACCAGUACCUGGAUCCAUCCAUCCACCUGACCAUACCAGUACCUGGAUCCAUCCACCUGACCAUACCAGUACCUGGAUCCAUCCACCUGACCAUACCAGUACCUGGAACCAUCCCCCUGACCAUACCAGUACCUGGAACCAUCCACCUGACCCUACCACUACCUGGAUCCAUCCACCUGACCAUACCAGUACCUGGAUCCAUCCACCUGACCAUACCAGUACCUGGAUCCAUCCACCUGACCAUACCAGUACCUGGAUCCAUCCAUCCACCUGACCAUACCAGUACCUGGAUCCAUCCAUCCACCUGACCAUACCAGCACCUGGGUCCAUCCAUCCACCUGACUAUACCAGUACCUGGGUCCAUCCACCUGACCAUACCAGUACCUAGGUCCAUCCACCUGACCAUACCAGUACUGGGAUUCAUCCACCUGACCAUACCAGUACCUGGAUCCAUCCACCUGACCAUACCAGUAUCUGGAUCCAUCCACCUGACCAUACCAGUACCUGGAUCCAUCCACCUGACCAUACCAGUACCUGGAUCCAUCCACCUGACCAUACCAGUACCUGGAUCCAUCCACCUGACCAUACCAGUACCUGGAUCCAUCCACCUGACCAUACCAGUACCUGGAUCCAUCCACCUGACCAUACCAGUACCUGGGUCCAUCCACCUGACCAUACCUGACCAUACCAGUACCUGGGUCCAUCCACCCACCUGACCAUACCAGUACCUGGGUCCAUCCACCUGACCAUACCAGUAUCUGGAUCCAUCCACCUGACCAUACCAGUACCUGGAUCCAUCCACCUGACCAUACCAGUACCUGGAUCCACCCACCUGACCAUACCAGUACCUGGAUCCAC